ACACGGACCAAGGAGUUCAGCGUGUACGCGAGUCAUUGGGUGGUAAAACCUAAAGGCGUAAUGAAAGUGAAGGAAACUUCUAGUUUCUGAGGGAGGAUGAGCCGGUUACCCGCAAGGGGUCGCUCCGCACUCCCGGGGCGUCUCUUUCUCAUCGCGAGUGGAGGCGCACCCAGAGCGUACACGCUGAUACCCGAAAGAUGGUGAACUAUGCCUGGCCAGGACGAAGCCAGGGGAAACCCUGGUGGAGGUCCGCAGCGAUUCUGACGUGCAAAUCGAUCGUCGGAGCUGGGUAUAGGGGCGAAAGACCAAUCGAACCAUCUAGUAGCUGGUUCCCUCCGAAGUUUCCCUCAGGAUAGCUUGCGCUCAUGUGAACGAGUCUCAUCCGGUAGAGCGAAUGAUUAGAGGCCUUGGGGUCGAAACGACCUCAACCUAUUCUCAAACUCCCAAAUAGAUGAGAACUCCGGCUUCCUUGAAACUUUGUUUUUGAAGCCGGGGGC
rnacentral:rRNA from 1 species